GACCUUUUGUGCCAAAUCCUAACAAAGUUGUUAAGACAUUUUCCUGUCACGGGUGAGGGUUCUGGUGACCUCCAGUGCCCCGGGGCUGUCAGGGCAGCGGGCCCUGGAAGGGGGCAGAAUUGUGCCCUUCCGGCUCCCACCUGCUUUCCUCAUCCAGCUCAGAUAGGGGUGGAGGGAGGAGGGCAAGGUCAAGAUGGAGUGCUCCAAGCUGGGGCCACAGAAGCAGGCUCUGUGCAAGUGGGGUGGGGGCACCCAGAGGACUUGAGGCAGAACCCCUCUAUCCUCUGCCUGCACGCCUGGCUCUCCCCUCCUAGGACUGCAUGGUUGAGAGAGGAGUGGGCAGCUGUUUGGACACCAGUCCCCCAGUUUAUCCUUGUUCUCCUGGAGAGAUUCUGAGCAGGUGUCCCAGGCUAGGAGAGGCCAUCCCAGUGAAGCCUUGAGAAGAGGUGCCAGGCUUCUGGGGCCCUCUCCUGGCUCGGAUAAUGGGCUGGGUGGGUGACAAAGGGAUUUCGUAGGCCUUAGUGGGCCCCGCUGUGGGCUCUGCCAUCUUGAGGUGUUCCCGGUGGUCAACAAUCCAGGCCUGCACUCGGAGGGCUCCGUCUGCAGCGACAGGCUCUGGACAUGGAGCCCAGUGGAGCCUGCGGCUGCCCGAGACGGAGCCCACAACGUCAGUUAUGCCCUCCUCUCUGCCAGGUUGCCUCAGACCAUGGUAAAUGGUGACAGGCUGACCCGGGGGUCUGAAGGAGCUGCUGGCUGGUGUGGCAUAGAGGGCAUCCUCUGGGCCUGCUGUGCUACAGCCAAAUCUUCACUGCUGAGCCCAUUUGCACUAUUUCAAGCGCACUAAGCACGUGUAUUUACUUCCUACUCUCUGCCACUGUCACGGUUAGUUGCAGCCUCAGUUCCCCUUCCCAGCCCCUGCAGGAUGACAGGGGAUCAGUGAGCAGGAGAUCCACAGCCCAGCUGAAACCAUGGCAAAACCAGUUUUAGGCUCCACAGAUGCUGAGGAAAGGAACCUGCUGGAGCCUCUUCCUCAGGGCACUGGGACUGCCUGGGGGCUUCGACGUCCACAGGAGCCCCGUCUGCAGAGGGGACAGGUACCGUCCAGGCCCUGUAGGGAGGAGCUGGGGCCACCUGCGCACACGUCACUGCUGCCUCUGGGUGCUUGACUUGUGUCUCCCAAAAGAUGCUCUUUUCCAGACAGCCUGACUGUAGGACCAGCACCAGCAAAGCCUUCCCUCCUCCACCGUGCUAAACAUCACUAUGUGACGGGCAAAGCCCUGCACACUCACAGUGGGUCUUCCCAUACUUACAGGUUUAAUUUUAUCAGAAGGAGAAUGACCUGAAGUCAGAUAAUGAGCCAUAUUCCGCCUGGUGUCUGGCUUCCCUACUGGCUCUCUAAAAUCGAUGUGGAAAGUUUAGAUGGGUGUUGGAUGCAAUACCUGAUGAUCCUUCUCUUAAGAAUACACAUUUCAGGGGCUCUUUGUCAUUCCCAGUAAGAGAAACGCUACUGAAACUAAAUUGGGAUUCUAUUUCUCAGGGAUGAGAUAAGCGAACAACUGAAAGGGGUGAGAAUGCAUUCUAUUGGAGGUGCUGUGGAAAGCAGGCACUCGUGUGUUGUCGGGAGAUAUGCAAAAUGGCAUUCCAGCUAGGGAAGGGAAUCUGGUAUUGUCCAUAUCAGCCCACGUGCAAAAUGACAUCCGUGCACCACUCAUGGUGCUGUGUAUGUAACAGCACAAGGCUGGGAGAGGAGCAGACGUCAAUCCACCCAGGGCUGCUUAAAUUAUAUGCAGCUCUAGGAAAAGAAUGAGAAAGAGCUCUGGGUAUGGAUAAGGAACGAUCAUCAGAAUAUGACGUUCAGCAAAAAAAGCCAUAUGCUGCGCUGUGCACAUGGAGGGGAAUAAGAAUACAAAUUAGCACUGCUUGCAUCUUCGUAGACAUAGACAGGUACGCCAGACCCAUUGCACGUGGCACAGCAGAAGUUGUGACGAGGGACCUGCAUGGAUGGGGGUGGAGUGGGAGUGAGACCUGCUGAACACAUCUUUAAAUAUCAUUUAAAUAUUUGAGCCAUGGAAAGUAUGAUUGGGCUAAACCGAAAGUUAGAGAUUAAGUAACAACAGUUCAUGACUCAGGUUCUACCUCUCUCUGCUCUGCCUGCCGCAUCUUUUGAAGCCCAGCUCAUCCUGAAGCUUCCCAUCAGAUUGAAUCCCUGCCCCAGCGUCCCCACCACACAGUUUGUACACUUAUUAUAGCAUCCAUGGCAUUCAGCUUGGCGUGAUAGUCAGUAAUUAACCUGCCUGUCUCCCCUAAAUUAUGCCUUUCGUGGAGGGAAGGUUCUCAUAAUGCUCAUUACAGCACUUUGCACAGGGUGAGUGACUCCACAGGUAUUUGUUGAAUGAAUGAGUAGUUUAGAGACUCCUAAGAAGGUUCCAUCUUCAUUAGGUGGUUCUGGAACUUUGUUAGGGACUGGGACUCUCUCUAGGAUGAACUGGAGUGCCCGAGGAUCUCUGGGAGCAAAUCACAGUCUCUGGACUGGCCAUGGACAUCCUCAGGCCUCCUCCAGACCCACAUUCUGCUGGUCCUGGGGGAACUGUGGAUGGAGGGGAGAGGGGGACUCACUUUACUAGUUAAGUCCCAUCCCGGGGAUCGAAAAUUCUGCUGUCCAAUACAAAAUCAAUGACGUUUACUGCAUUGCACGUUUCUAAUUGACACAACGUGUUACACAAUGCUAAAUAGAUGAAGAAUUUCAUCAAUUAAAAAAAGUUCAGCUAAUGAAAAUUAACAAGAAUAAUUAAUGAGACAUUUGACUUGAUCCAUGUUCAAUCAACUUGACGGAUCUCUUUUGCACUCUGGGGGAACUUACUAUGUGCAGGCUGAGCCAGGGUAUGUGGGUGUUAUCACCCCAGGCUGACACAGCCCUUGUCUGCUGGGCAGUGGGGGACCUUGAGGGCUCAUCUGAAGGUGGCCGGUGCUAAGACUGAUGACCGUCUAAUGAUACCCCUUAGCAUCCCAACAGGGCUCAAAGCAGGAAGAGUGGACAGGCACUGGGGUCCUCAUUUUUUUUUUUUUAAACAUUUUCAAAGAGAAAAAUACUUCUGAGCUUAUACUUGAGUUUUGCUUUAAAGUUGUAGAAAAAGUUAAAAAUAAAUAAAAAGCCCUAAAGUCAUUUUUAAAAUUUCAACAUUUGGAGCUAUGAACACAUAAGUUUGAGGAGUUCACGCCUGGCGUUGUGAUGGUUUAAAGGUGUAAACACAUUAGAACCUCUCCGUGACAAGCUACGCUAAAUGCAGCAGGGCUGGACCCUCCCCAAGGGUCUCUAUAUCUGAAAAUACAGAAAAAUGAGUUCUAACAUGUUUCCUCUUACUCUGCAGUGUGAAGCUGAGUCUACACUGGAAGCCCUGGGUCCGCUGAGGCCUCGCCAUCCCAGUGUGGCCCCGCAGCGGCCUCCCCAGGAGCUGGUUAGAGAUGCUGAUCCCUGCCCUGCCCCUGUCCCCCAGCUCAGAACCCUCCCUAAAGAGAUGCCCAGGAGAUCGUGUGCAUGAUGACAUUUGAGAAACUCCACUCUAAGAUACAGUGGCUGAGAUGGAGCCAGCAGGAAGGCUGGGGCAGGCAGAGAUGGACAAGCAGCUGCCUUUGAGUUGCUGUGGCAGCAACAUAGCGGCCAGUGGUUUGGCAAAGAAGGUAACAUCAAGGCUUGGUCAAUGCAGCAGGGGCAAGAGUCCAAGCAGUGCUACCCCAACUUGACAAGAGAGGCAGAGAAACCCAAGAAUUCCAGCUCAUCUGUCUGGACACUCCACAGCCACCAAAGAGCCAGCACUAUCUCCCUGGAUCUGGGCACCUUCCAACCUUGAGAAGACUCAGGACGGCAGAAUGGUGUGCUGUGAGGAAGUCUGGAGGCAGCUAGCCUUGGAGUCUGCUCUGUGGCAGCUGCCCACUUCCUGGACCCAGGCUGGCCACAGGCUCUCCCAGGCAUCCUGCAGUCAGAAGGAGGAAGAGGAGAGAAAAGGGAUAAAGGAGAGAACAAAGCUGUCAACACUCUUGUUGGAGGGACUUGAAUUAACCACUCAGAAUUCUGGCAUGAAUGGAGAGGGCUGCUCCCACAGUAUAACUGCGCCAUGCCUUGCACCAACUCUCUGCAUCCUGAUUUUAGACAGGAGGACACACCAAUUUGAAGAAAUGAUGCUAUUUCCAGGGCUGAGAGCCCUGGAAGAAUCCAGACGGGUCUGUCUGCUGCAUUGUAGAGCUGUAAUGUAAUGUAAUGUAAUGUAAUGUAAUGUAAUGUAAUGUAAUGUAAUGUAAUGCAAUGCAAUGUAAUGUAGAGUCUCUUAUGUAACUUA